rnacentral:lncRNA from 1 species
UGAGUAUCGUAUGUGUAGUACAUGAAUCAACUAAACAAAUAUUUUUACAGUUGGACGUUGAUCCAAGCUUGCUUUGUGAGAUAUCCAUACUUGCUUUCCCAUGGUUUGACAUACAAAAGAAAUACACGAACAUGAGAAUAAACAAAUUCAAUCGUUUUGUUUCACAUUUAAACAAUAUUUUCAAAAUCUGCUGAGGUUAGUCGAUUAACUUAGAUGAUAGUCGACUAUCUUGGGAAGCAAUCAUUAGGUUAGUCGACUAACUAAAUCAGAUAGUCGACUAUCUUGCCUUGCGGAAAAGUCCAGUUUUAAUGCGAAAUAUU